GACGAACGCUGGCGGCGUGCUUAACACAUGCAAGUCGAACGGUAAGGCCCUUCGGGGUACACGAGUGGCGAACGGGUGAGUAACACGUGGGUGAUCUGCCCUGCACUUCGGGAUAAGCCUGGGAAACUGGGUCUAAUACCGGAUAGGACCACUGCCUGCAUGGGUGGUGGUGGAAAGCUUUUGCGGUGUGGGAUGGGCCCGCGGCCUAUCAGCUUGUUGGUGGGGUGAUGGCCUACCAAGGCGACGACGGGUAGCCGGCCUGAGAGGGUGACCGGCCACACUGGGACUGAGAUACGGCCCAGACUCCUACGGGAGGCAGCAGUGGGGAAUAUUGCACAAUGGGCGCAAGCCUGAUGCAGCAACGCCGCGUGAGGGAUGACGGCCUUCGGGUUGUAAACCUCUUUUAGUAGGGAAGAAGCGAAAGUGACGGUACCUGCAGAAAAAGCACCGGCUAACUACGUGCCAGCAGCCGCAGUAAUAC
rnacentral:rRNA from 1 species